GAUUGUUUACGGUGAUAAGUGCAAUGGGUCCAUUGGUUAAGGACUGUUGGAACAAACGGUAUUAUUCGUUGGAAAUAAAGGUGUUUACAAUCUCACGAGAGGCCCUGGCUUCCUAAGAACCAAAAUAGUUCCAGUUCUGGCUCUUGCAAAAUUCGUGCCUUGUUCGGAGGGUAAAAUCCGGAAUGAGGGAAAUCCUGGAACAGAGGCAAAGUGCAAGAUGGAAAUUAACACACGUUGGGUGUGUGUAACGGUUGAAAUGUAAGCUUAUUAGAUGGAAUAUAGCUUUGACAAUAAACCGAUUUCAGGGGAACGCAGUCUCAAACGAACUCUAAAUUCCGGGACAGCAAAAUACCGUAACCUGGGAGGAAACCAAGAACAGGAUUAGAAUUAAACGCAAAACUGGUUGAUGUGACGGACACAAUUAGAGCUCUCAGAUCAAUGGCAGACUGCUUUUCAAGAAAUAAACAAAACUUCACGGGAACAUAGGCCUGGAAAGAUCUCAAGAGAGCUACAGUCUGCAACAAUAUCAGGGAACUUUGGCAUGACUAGCCAGUGACGUUGCAGGGGAGCUGUAAAUUAAUCUUGGUGACAAGAAGAGAAGAAGGAGGGGCACCUUCUCUAAGUAUUAAUCAUUCAUACUUAUUGUUCUCCAUUUGAUGACCAUCAUGUCUGAGCAAGAGUCAGAACAAUUUUAAACACAUACAUUAUAUUAAUAGUGUAAUUAUGAAUAAGAGGCGAUAUAAUUUGCAAAGAUUAUUUUCAGUACAUGCAGAAUUUCAACAUUUUCUGGUAUUCAACACAACCUUAAUUUAAACAAUUUGUUUGCAGUACAUACUUUUCAUCAUGUUCUUUGGGACCCUUAUUCUGACGUUUUAUACUCUGAGGAGCAUCAGACAAACAAGCUUUUAGUAGUAUGUUGUGAAAUUUUUGCCUUUUUCAAAGCCAUUUACAACCUCAUUGUUAAUUUUGUAAGGCACUACGGUAUCUCAUGCUCUUCUUAGAAAAAGGACACCAAAACGGCAAAAUCAGAAUGUAUUAGUAUUUGUUUUUAGUUAGCAUCAGAAGGUAGUUUUUAGGAGACUGAGAAGCUGUGCUUAUCGAGCAGUGUCUUGGUCUUUCCUUUCAAUGUGACCACACCUCAUGAUUCCCAUGCCUGGAAUUGCAGAGAGCUGCCGACUCUCCCCACUCUGGGUUAAAGUUUGGUCAUGUCAAGGACUCGAAACCUGGUUCAUUGGAUAUAUAGUCCGUAAACCUAAUUAUUGAGGAAAUAUCCACACCUUAUGAUUCCUCUGCCUGGAAUUGCAGAGAGCCUGGCCACUCCCCGCACCCUUGGUGAUAGUUUGGUUGUGUCAGGGACUUGAACCCCCAUACCCUUGGAUAUGUAGGCUGUGACUCUAAUCAUUUAUCCAUCUCCGAAUUAACCAGAAUGUGCUCUAUUCCACCCAUGGACAACUUACCAAAUUUUUAAUUAGCUUUCAUUAGAGCAUACAGGGCCCACGCCACGGAUUUGAAAGUGGGGAGCCAAGGCUAAAAAAGUAAGGGGCCAAGGCUUCUUACCUCUUAUACUACGUAUGAAAGCUGCCCAUUGUAUUAUUCCCAUGCAUUACACUGCUAUAAAGGAAAUAUUGUACAGUUUGGUGAUUAUUAGAGGGGCUGUAUUUGUAUUUGUAUAUGUUUUUUUGACACUGAGAAGCUAUGCUUAUCAAGCAGUGUCCUGGUCCUUCCUCUCGUUGUGACCACACCUCGUGAUUAUUAUGCCUGGAAUUACACAGAGCUGGCAACUUUCCCCUCUCUGGGUGAAAGUUUGGCCAUGUCGGAGACUCAAACACGGACCCUUAGAUCUGUAGUCAGCGCCUCUAACAACUGAGCCCUCCUCAUUCCAGCCCCCAGCUUCCGCGACCCCUGCUUCUGAUGGCCCUGAUCUGGGCCUAUUUCAGGAAUGGGUCUAAUGUUGCAGCACUAAUAGCACCCACCUUAAUCCAGCCCUUACCAUUGUAUGUAAAACCUAUGUUCAGAUUAAUUUACAUUAGAUAUAUAUUUCCAGGAUCUAGAAUUUUCUCCAAAAAAAAUGAUAAUUUAUAAAUUAUAUAAUUAAGGAAACAAGAAAUCAAAAGAAGUGGCAAAUCCACAUAAUAUCAAACUAUUUUGCAAGCAAUAUCAACUCUGCCUUUGCCUAAGUUGAAUUUACAAAAUUUGUUUGCCACAUCUGUGUGCUUUUGCAUUUCAGCUGCGCAAAACCCCUUGAUAACAACAUUAAAUGUUAUUGACUCUCAAAAAUAACUGAGAAUGUAUGACUUCAAACACAUAGUCUCAGACCUUUCUAGUCUAGUGCCAAUUCUUCAAACAAAGUGGUGAUUAUUGUUCAAUAGCUUUCUUUUCUUUUUCAUAGUUUCACAUAUUUGACACCUUGAAGCAUAGAAUUUUAACAUGGUAUGCUUGCUAUUAGUGGCUUUUCAAAACGGAGGAGAUGACUUCGAAAUGAUCUGAUAGAUAAGUAAAAGGCAGACUAGAUUUUUGGAGCUGAUGUAGAUUUCCCAGACAAAGUUGCAUUGGCCUAGAAAGCCACAUAUGUUCUUUGAACCAGUAAAUCUACGCGAGUUUGCAGCGUUAAGUUACAGAGGAAUUCAAAACCUGAAGGAAUUGAGCACCCCAGUCUAAAAUUCCUUUCGAUUAAAGCAUGAUUUAUGCCAAUAUUUGACAUCAAAUUUGGAAAUAAAAUUAAACACAUACCUUUGAAUUAUGCUUUGGUUAUUUCAUAAAUUGAAGGAAAUUGGCAGCCUUGAUAAUAAACCAUUGUACAAAGAAAAGCUACUUAACUACUCUCUGGUGACAAAACUUACCAUUUUCGUCGAUAUCUGAAUGCACAGUCGAACCAACGCUGGUCAUUGGCCUAGACUUCGAGCGUUCUGAUUCAGACCUUUCAUUUUUCUCGUGGCCAUGACCCGUGGUCUUUCCAGCAGAAUUCUUCUUUGCCAUGUUCUUUUAUAAAAUUGUGGUCCUUCGUAAAGGCUUAAUUAUUUAACAAUGAACAAAAUCAUCAAUAGAAAUCAAGUUUCUUUCAUGCAUUAGCUGUUCAUUUUCUUACACGCCAUUUUGAAAAUUUGAUCUUGCUCUAGUUAAGAUGGGUUGCCAUAGCGAUCUUUAGAAUUACGAGGCUGCUGGAUAAUGGUGUCGUCAAGCAUUUUUCUCAUUUGCAGUUUGACUUGCCGAUAACUUGUUCCAAAAAGGGUACAUAAUUGUUUUUGGGGCCCCCGAUAACGGUGGGAUUACGAGGCGAAUACGAGGACCAUGCUCCCCAUUUUCGCCAAAAUUGCAUAGACCUGGGGAUGCUUGAGAUAUUGGCGUUAUUUCAGAAAGGGGGCUUGGCCCCCUGUUCGAAACAUUGCCGGAUUACAGGGAUAGCUGUUCCAGGAAAAAUUCACAGGGCUCCAGAAGUCAGACCCCUGGAGACCGGGCUGGAGACACCACUGAUGGUGUCGGUGUAAAAAAGGCUUCAACAUGGCAACAGAAAACAACAACAAACGGAAGCCAGAAUUCUUCGCUUUCUUUAGAAUUUGUUUUAGUCGAAAAACAAAGAAUAACAGCGGAACAAAUGAUCUGAAAAGAGAAUCUUCAAAAUGCAAAAAACUGCAUUUUAUUCCUCUUUUAUCACGUCAGGGGGGAGGUGAUGCUAUUUUGGUGAAAACGACAAACAGAAAAUUGAUGAUUUUUUUCAUCUGGAGGCAACGAUCUAAAAGAAGAGGGGAAUUUCAAAAACUGAGGGGAUUGGUUGCGAAGAGGUUUGCCGAAGAGGAGAGAUAUGUAUUUAUGCAAGAAAGUAAAUGUAAAAAAGCUGUUUUUAAAUUCAACGACUAUAUACCAGAGGUACAUGGUCAUUAAGGACAAUUUUACCUCAGAAAGAUUUUUGCAAAUUUCGAGAAAAUUGAGGAACAUCACGCUUAGGCAAUCCUAAGGAUACUGUAAUUGAGAGCAUUUGCAGAGAAGAGAACGCCUCUGAAAACCCCCCCAAAACUUCAAGUGUCAUGAGUAAAAUAUUUUUAUUAUGUAAAAUAUUGCUGUUGAGGAAAGUAGCAUGGGUGUGUUAGCUGGAAUUUUUAAGGGGCCCGGAAAUUGACGAGAGGAGUGGCCUGCAUGCGUUGAUCACUGUGAGCCUUUCAAGCUUUGUACCCCCGGUUUCCUAUUUCUUCCUGAACCACAGAAUGUGAUCAGAAUGCGAUUUUGCCCAGCUUGAAAAAAGACCACGGAAGAAUGUAUUUUGGGGACGUCUGGUUAUUGAAAGGGUGAAUAUUUGAUCACUUGUCACCGGAAACGAUACUGGUUCAUCUGAGCAUUGCAAAAAACGCGACAAAGAUUCAGAAAGAAAUUGCGCUAAGAAACUAUACCCCAGUAUCUUUGCGCAACGAGGGAUCGUAUUUCAAUCAUGAAUAUCUCAAUCAUUUUCAUUUGCACCUCGCUGAUAUGUCUGUUUGGUUUAUCAAAAGGAGAUGCAGAAUAUGAUCCUUUGCAAGAACUGAAAGAAUUCGAAAACUUUGAUUUUGAAGAAGUUGAAUCAGGUAUAGCAAGUCCGAAAUCCGAUGCACGAAGGUCUUCAUCAAGAUUUUCAUCGAGAAGGGGGUUUUCAUCGAGAAGAAGGUUUUCAUCGAGAAGGAGGCUUUCAACAAGGCGACGAUCCUCCUACAGGAGAAGAUCUAUAGCUAAUCGUGACGUCACGAGCAAAAUGGUUCUGCUGGGAACUGUAUUCGUUGGAUUACUCACAACUAUGCGAUCAGUUUGAUAAUCAUCCAAUCAUGAUUGACGUUUUGAUUAUUUGGGUUGCAGAAUCUAACUUUCAUAUUGAAAAAUAAUUCCAACAUCUGAUUUA